AUUGAAGAGUUUGAUCAUGGCUCAGAUUGAACGCUGGCGGCAGGCCUAACACAUGCAAGUCGAGCGGUAGCACAGAGAGCUUGCUCUCGGGUGACGAGCGGCGGACGGGUGAGUAAUGUCUGGGAAACUGCCUGAUGGAGGGGGAUAACUACUGGAAACGGUAGCUAAUACCGCAUAAUGUCGCAAGACCAAAGUGGGGGACCUUCGGGCCUCAUGCCAUCAGAUGUGCCCAGAUGGGAUUAGCUAGUAGGUGGGGUAACGGCUCACCUAGGCGACGAUCCCUAGCUGGUCUGAGAGGAUGACCAGCCACACUGGAACUGAGACACGGUCCAGACUCCUACGGGAGGCAGCAGUGGGGAAUAUUGCACAAUGGGCGCAAGCCUGAUGCAGCCAUGCCGCGUGUAUGAAGAAGGCCUUCGGGUUGUAAAGUACUUUCAGCGGGGAGGAAGGCGAUAAGGUUAAUAACCUUGUCGAUUGACGUUACCCGCAGAAGAAGCACCGGCUAACUCCGUGCCAGCAGCCGCGGUAAUACGGAGGGUGCAAGCGUUAAUCGGAAUUACUGGGCGUAAAGCGCACGCAGGCGGUCUGUCAAGUCGGAUGUGAAAUCCCCGGGCUCAACCUGGGAACUGCAUUCGAAACUGGCAGGCUAGAGUCUUGUAGAGGGGGGUAGAAUUCCAGGUGUAGCGGUGAAAUGCGUAGAGAUCUGGAGGAAUACCGGUGGCGAAGGCGGCCCCCUGGACAAAGACUGACGCUCAGGUGCGAAAGCGUGGGGAGCAAACAGGAUUAGAUACCCUGGUAGUCCACGCCGUAAACGAUGUCGAUUUGGAGGUUGUGCCCUUGAGGCGUGGCUUCCGGAGCUAACGCGUUAAAUCGACCGCCUGGGGAGUACGGCCGCAAGGUUAAAACUCAAAUGAAUUGACGGGGGCCCGCACAAGCGGUGGAGCAUGUGGUUUAAUUCGAUGCAACGCGAAGAACCUUACCUGGUCUUGACAUCCACAGAACUUGCCAGAGAUCGCUUGGUGCCUUCGGGAACUGUGAAACAGGUGCUGCAUGGCUGUCGUCAGCUCGUGUUGUGAAAUGUUGGGUUAAGUCCCGCAACGAGCGCAACCCUUAUCCUUUGUU
rnacentral:rRNA from 1 species